rnacentral:rRNA from 1 species
GAUGAACGCUGACAGAAUGCUUAACACAUGCAAGUCAACUUGAAUUUGGGUUUUUAACUUAGGUUUGGGUGGCGGACGGGUGAGUAACGCGUAAAGAACUUGCCUCACAGCUAGGGACAACAUUUGGAAACGAAUGCUAAUACCUAAUAUUAUGAUAAUAGGGCAUCCUAUAAUUAUGAAAGCUAUAAGCGCUGUGAGAGAGCUUUGCGUCUCAUUAGCUAGUUGGAGAGGUAACGGCUCACCAAGGCGAUGAUGGGUAGCCGGCCUGAGAGGGUGAUCGGCCACAAGGGGACUGAGACACGGCCCGUACUCCUACGGGAGGCAGCAGUGGGGAAUAUUGGACAAUGGACCGAGAGUCUGAUCCAGCAAUUCUGUGUGCACGAUGAAGUUUUUCGGAAUGUAAAGUGCUUUCAGUUGGGAAGAAACAAAUGACGGUACCAACAGAAGAAGUGACGGCUAAAUACGUG